UCGCGGCUCUACGUCUCGCCUGAGCCGGGCGCUUCUCCGCGCCCAAUGGUCGUCGCCUGACGCAAACAGCUGCGCCGCCCAGCAGUGGAAGCGGGUUUUUAAAGAGAUCCAACGCCGUCCUCGUUCUGGCGUCGUCUCUCGCUGCCUGCAGCGUUUUUUGUUGACGAAUCCCAUCCAGCCGGCCGAUUCAAAUGUUCCACCGUGCAUCGUUUUGGUGUCUGUAAUUACUCCCUCGCUCCCCGAAUAAGCUAAAAUCACUUUAAUGUGUUUCACAGCGUGUGCUUCGCCGUUUUCUCACCUCUCAGCGCGCCAAAGCGCAGCCGUUGGCAACGACUGUUCACUGUACAGCAGUUUUUACUGGCUGUUUUUACUGACUCAGAAACCCCUUUCAUAACCCCAGGACUCCGCCCCCUGAUUAGUAAUUGUUGAAAAUAAAUUCCUUUGGUGAUUUUCCAAUGAAACCGUUCUAUCGGCCGUGCGGUAUCCCGGGUUGAAGCGGUAUACCGGUACGAGAUUUCCGUGCGGUAUGAAUGUCUCACGUCCCGUUCAUACCGUGGCUCUCUCACGUGUGAUGAGAUGAAGUCGUGGUUAGAACUUUAUAACGAUGAAUAAGCCACGACAAACAGUCUUUAACGGAGCAAAAGCGUCACAUACGGAGAUUCUAAAUGCCGUGAAGUGGAUUUCUGGCCACCGCGCCCAGCCCUGAUGGGGCCGACCGCGGUUUGUGAUUUUGGGAUAUUGGGUUUGUUAUUCUGUGUUUUCACUGAGAAACGCUGUGAUGAUGAUCUGUUAAACACUCGUUUUAGUUAACUUAUUAUUUUGGUUCAUAUAGAGCUGAUUUAAUCAUUAUUUGGUAAGUUCAGACAGCUUUGAGAUGUUACACCCUGCCUCAGAAAAACGACUUUCCCAUAUGAAACUUCUCUUAUGUUCUGAUUAUGUUUACUUUUCAUGACAUUUCUCAAAUAGGUCAUAAAUUACUAGUUUUUUAAACUUGUUUUUAGUGUCGUUUAACCAUAAGCCUGAAAUAUUAUGUUAUUAAUAGUUAAAGCAGCCAAACAAGGAUUAUAUGACAUGCGUGAUAUUCAUAUUCUGAUCCAAACUGUUGGCAUGUAGCAGUGGAGCCGUGGGCAGAAUGAGUUAAAUGAUAAUAACUUGAGUCUCGUGAGGCCUUUAAAGAACAUAUUUGAGACUUUUGAUCACUCAGCUCUGGUUUCUGGUUUCUACUGGCUCUCUUUAUUCUUUGGUGACUUAACUUCACAUUUCCUCUCGCUGAGGAACCGACUUCGGACAAGAAGCAGGUGCACUUUCUCUCUCUUCCUUUCUCGCGACACGUUUUCCCGUCGCUCCUCCCCGAAAAAAAGGUGCCUUACACAAGUCGGCUCGUCGGAGCGAGGAAUCGGAACAAGCGGCCUCUGUUAUGCAUCACUCGGGUCUAGACAGCAACUCGCAUUACUUCUCAGCUGAACCGCUAGCGGCGUUAUUGCUGGCGCCGUAAAGCGAUGGAGACAAAGCCAGUAAAAGUUGAAGAAACACAGAUCAUUCAUGUAUUUGGGCUUCCAGCAAUUUGCCAGUUGGAUGAAUUUGCAUGCGGUAAGAAAUCUACACUCCAAUGCAACUGGAAGGGUCAGUUUCAUACACUGCUGCUUAAUUAUGAGUCAAUCCUGUGCUUUGUCAGACCAGUGGACCAAAUAUUGAACAAAAGGUUGAGAACCUGCACGGUGGAAACGUGGAGAAAAUCAGCCAAAUACCCGUCUGCAGCCGCAUAUGGAGGCUGUCCUGUGACAACAAUGAUUAACAAAUGGUUUUGAACUACUUGCACGGUACAUAAAAAGUAAUAGUGCUCAUUCACUGCAGUCUUUGGGAGGAGGUCAAACCCCCUGUGUAUUAAAGUGCUCACAAUAAACUCACUGAUAAUCUGGAGGAUCGGUGUAUGUCUGCGGAGUGGAGUUGUUUGUAAAUGAAAAGACACAUUGACACAAAUAUAAAAUGACUUUAGUCAAAGAAGAGGUGUUGUGUGUCAAGGUGUGCAAACAUGUAGCGAGAAUGACAUGAUGGUCACAAGUCUGGUUCAAAAUUCUUGCAUUUUGUAUUAAGAGUAUAGUUUCACGAAAGGGGAUUUUUGAUACCGGAUUUAGACAAGAACUUU
ensembl:lncRNA